UAGAGUUUGAUCCUGGCUCAGAACGUACGCUGGCGGCACGCCUAACACAUGCAAGUCGAACGAAGUAGCAAUACUUAGUGGCAGACGGGUGAGUAACAUGUAGGUAUCUGCCCUUUGGCCUGGAAUAACACGAGGAAACUUGUGCUAAUACCGGAUAAGUCUUUACGGAGAAAGCUUUAUGCACCAUUGGAUGAGCCUGCACUUGAUUAGUUUGUUGGUGGGGUAAUGGCCUACCAAGACUGUGAUCAAUAGCUGAUUUGAGAGGAUGAUCAGCCACAUUGGGACUGAGACACGGCCCAAACUCCUACGGGAGGCAGCAGUGGGGAAUCUUGCACAAUGGAGGAAACUCUGAUGCAGCGAUGCCGCGUGAGUGAAGAAGGCCCUUGGGUUGUAAAGCUCUUUCGUCGGGGAAGAAAAUGACUGUACCCGAAUAAGAAGGUCCGGCUAACUUCGUGCCAGCAGCCGCGGUAAUACGAAGGGACCUAGCGUAGUUCGGAAUUACUGGGCUUAAAGAGUUCGUAGGUGGUUGAAAAAGUUAGUGGUGAAAUCCCAGAGCUUAACUCUGGAACUGCCAUUAAAACUUUUCAGCUAGAGUAUGAUAGAGGAAAGCAGAAUUUCUAGUGUAGAGGUGAAAUUCGUAGAUAUUAGAAAGAAUACCAAUUGCGAAGGCAGCUUUCUGGAUCAUUACUGACACUGAGGAACGAAAGCAUGGGUAGCGAAGAGGAUUAGAUACCCUCGUAGUCCAUGCCGUAAACGAUGUGUGUUAGACGUUGGAAAUUUAUUUUCAGUGUCGCAGGGAAACCGAUAAACACACCGCCUGGGGAGUACGACCGCAAGGUUAAAACUCAAAUGAAUUGACGGGGACCCGCACAAGUAGUGGAGCAUGUGGUUUAAUUCGAAGAUACGCGCAGAACCUUACCAACACUUGACAUGUUCGUCGCGACUUUAAGAGAUUAAAGUUUUCGGUUCGGCCGGACGAAACACAGGUGCUGCAUGGCUGUCGUCAGCUCGUGUCGUGAGAUGUUGGGUUAAGUCCCGCAACGAGCGCAACCCUCACUUUUAGUUGCCAUCAUUAAGCUGGGCACUCUGAAAGAACUGCCAGUGAUAAGCUGGAGGAAGGUGGGGAUGACGUCAAGUCCUCAUGGCCCUUACGUGUUGGGCUACACACGUGCUACAAUGGCAUCUACAACAGGAAGCAAAACUGCGAAGUUAAGCAAAUCCCUAAAAGAUGCCUCAGUUCGGAUUGCACUCUGCAACUCGAGUGCAUGAAGCUGGAAUUACUAGUAAUCGUGGAUCAGCGUGCCACGGUGAAUGCGUUCCCGGGUCUUGUACACACCGCCCGUCACACCAUGGGAGUUGGUUCUACCUUAAGGCAAGGUUUCAAACCCUUGACCACGGUAUAGUCAGCGACUGGGGUGAAGUCGUAACAAGGUAACCA
rnacentral:rRNA from 1 species